AUAAUACUCCCUCUGUUCGGAAUUACUUGUCGCGGAAAUGGAUGUAUCUAGAUGUAUUUUAGUUCUAGAUACAUCCAUUUCUGAGACAAGUAAUUCCGAACGGAGGGAGUAGCAC
rnacentral:pre_miRNA from 1 species